GGACGCGGUCGGGCGUCAUUUUUGUGACCGCGAUAGAAGUAAAAUGAAUUGGCAUAACGUGUGUAUGCAAAUUUUAAUUAUCUCUUUUGUCACAAUCUUGCAUUUUCUGUCCACGAAAUCGGAACAUAGAAAAAGAUUUACCAGUUACGGGUAUGUGAAACGACCAAACGAACAACCAAACAUGGAUGUAUGGUUUGUUGACUCUUCUAGAAUCGGUGCUAAGGACUUUAAUCCUAAAAAUUAUUAUAUUGAUUAAUUUUCUAACGUU